UUCCCAGACUCCUACGGGAGGCAGCAGUGGGGAAUAUUGCACAAUGGGGGAAACCCUGAUGCAGCGACGCCGCGUGAGCGAAGAAGUAUCUCGGUAUGUAAAGCUCUAUCAGCAGGGAAGAAAAAAAUGACGGUACCUGACUAAGAAGCCCCGGCUAACUACGUGCCAGCAGCCGCGGUAAUACGUAGGGGGCAAGCGUUAUCCGGAUUUACUGGGUGUAAAGGGAGCGCAGGCGGUGAGGCAAGUCUGAUGUGAAAACCCGGGGCUCAACUCCGGGACUGCAUUGGAAACUGUCUUACUUGAGUACCGGAGAGGUAAGUGGAAUUCCUAGUGUAGCGGUGAAAUGCGUAGAUAUUAGGAGGAACACCAGUGGCGAAGGCGGCUUACUGGACGGUAACUGACGCUGAGGCUCGAAAGCGUGGGGAGCAAACAGGAUUAGAUACCCCAGUACAC
rnacentral:rRNA from 1 species